UCAUCCAGGAGUCCAAUGUAAGGUCACAUCCCUCUUAUACCCUUCCCGAUUCGGUUCCAUUCGAAAUCAGUAGAGGAAAACCUAGCUAAGGUUUGCAGCUAACAAGCCUAUUUGAUUGCUUGCUUUCAUCCCGCUGAUCUCGUUUUUACCGCAUCCAAGAUCGUUUCCCUCGUCAAUGUCAGUCCAGCAAGGACACGGAAGGCCUCUAGAUCUAAUACUACCUCGUCCAGGUUUGCUCUCAACCCCCUAGACCCCUCACAGCUACCUGUAUUGCUUGAUUGUCUGUUGUGGCCCUCAAGAAUUUUGAUGACACUGAACUGAA
rnacentral:lncRNA from 1 species